GACGAAGAACGUAGCGAAAUGCGAUAAGUAAUGUGAAUUGCAGAAUUCAGUGAAUCAUCGAAUCUUUGAACGCACAUUGCGCCCGCCAGUAUUCUGGCGGGCAUGCCUGUUCGAGCGUCAUUUCAACCAUCAAGCCCCCGGCUUGUGUUGGGGACCUGCGGCUGCCGCAGGCCCUGAAAAGCAGUGGCGGGCUCGCUGUCACACCGAGCGUAGUAGCAUACAUCUCGCUCUGGGCGUGCUGCGGGUUCCGGCCGUUAAUCCACCUUCAUAACCCAAGGUUGACCUCGGAUCAGGUAGGAAGACCCGCUGAACUUAAGCAUAUCAAUAAGCGGAGGA
rnacentral:misc_RNA from 1 species